ACUUAUAUUGCUGGUCCUGUUAUUGGAAUUUCUGCCUGGAAAAAUCUGAACAUCAGUUAUCUACACAUUAUGACUACUACUACAAAUUACCUAUAAGGAAAGGUCUCCCUUUUGUUAUGUGCAAGUGCCUAUGCAUUUUCAUACUUUAUGCAGCUCAAAAUCAACCAGAAAGGUAGGAAGUACACAUGCAUAUGAAUUUUCCUGAUCCUGUUAGUUGCAGUUCUAGUUUAGGAUAUGAAGAUACACGAUCUACGAGACUUUCUAAUAAACUAGACACCGUUGUUCAUUGAAAGUGUCGAAGGAAACGUUCUGCAGAAUUUACGGAUAUAAACAUUACUGAAGUCUCACACAGCCUAUCCUCUCAAAAGAAGAGAGGUGGAAGAAACAGAAUGAUUGUAACAUAAUAAGCACAUUCCCAGACAACUGAAAGUGAAAAGAUAUUUCUAUAUGGUCUCUUCCUAGUUUUCUGAUUUCUUAAUGAGCUGUAACGGAGUUCCAAUAGGGCAAACAUACAAAGCAAUCUACAAUAUUCCUUCUUGAACCUUGCAGCAUUUUGGAAUUUUAAGUCUACAGAUGUAUUUUCAAUCUAGGUAAACAUACUGCAAUGGCAACAGCAGCCGUAAAUCCUUAAUAACAGAAGUUUGGGUUUUCAGCUAAAAGAUUGCUUUUAUUCACGCCUGUCAAGGGUCAUAUAAAGUUUUUUAAUGUGAACAAGAAUGUUAAAAUAUAUAUUGUUCAAAAUCACCCACCAGUCUUUUUUUUGUGGCCUUUCCGCGUAAUCCUUUUUUUUACCCCCACCAACACUCGCAUUUCAUGUCAUUUUAUCAUAUUAUUGAGACCACACAAAUUUUAUACACAGGACAUGAAUAUCUCUUAUAGCAAUUAAUUGGUUUUUAACAUUAUUCCCUGAACCUAAAUCGAUAAAGCAGCAGUUUGUAAGUUUGUGUAAAUAUGACCUGAACCAUCUUUGCUCAUUUUUUGAAGUUCGACCAUCGUAGGAGUUUUCAUAUGCCUAAAAUGCGAACAUAUCUCAAAGGUAAUUUUGUGAUGUUUGUUCCCAGGGUUUGCUAAACAUUUUGCAGGGACGAUAUUAGUGCCCGAACUAGUUUUUUACUGGACGUAACAAUGUUAUAGAUACCUGAAAUCCAUCAAAGAAAAUAUUCUGUUGUGACAAAUAUAAUGCACAAAGUCCAAGACGAGUUGGUCAAUGGUCUAGGUGAGUUGUUCUAUUUAGUUCAUUACAACUGUGAUACAGGUGAUAUGUACAAAUUCUAUCUAUGAGGAGCUUCUUCCUCAAGGAUUGCUGAAACCUACCCCUGAGGCGAGAUAUGAAGAACGCAUCAAAUUCGUCAGGAGCAAUCCUCAGCAAGAAGGCAGGAAGACUUAGGAGCAUUAAAGGUCAAGGUGCUGAAAGGCAUAAAUCUGGCUAUGAGAGAGAUACUUAUAAAUAGUGACACCCUUAUGUGGUUUUGACUCUUGGACAACAGAGAGCCCAAACUGCCAUAAAACCAAGCAAUUUAAAUCCCGUUUGAAGGAGGAAUUUGGAUUAUUGGUGACUCAAUGAUACGGGACUCUGAAAUUUGUGAGCACAUAUGAGAAAUUAUUUUUGUUACCUAUAUUACUAUCUGGAGUCGGGAGUUUUUUUUCACUAUCAUGUUCAAUUUAUUUCUCUAUUUGCAUUAGAUCUGCAAGAUUUAAAAAACUACUAAUCCUCAGAAUAUAUAAUUGAACUCUAGAACUUUUUUAUGAUGUAAAGAAUGGAACUCCAAACCUGUGAUUAGUAUGUACAUCUGUUAAUUUUCUGAGACGCGCAACUCACAUUCUUCAUAAAAUAGUAUGCGUUUCAUUGGUUGUAUGCUCCAUCUCAAGUUUCACAAUUUUAAGCUUAGGAUGUGUUCAAUUUCAGAACUAUCCGUUCGCAUGUGUCACAGUACGUAGACAGUUCAACAUCAAUGAACACCCAAUUCAAAGUAAAAUCAGGCAUUGAAGUUCAUAGGCAAAUCGAUUAAAUUUAAAGCUAAUAAAUGUAGAUACUUAUUCCUACUUGCAAAAUGAAGGAAUAACUGACAACUGAAAUAGAAGACGCAUAACAUGCAUCAUAAUGCCGUCACAAUAUUUUUGCUUAUCCAAACCAGCACAUUAUACCAACAUCAUGACAUUACUCAUAUAUUUAUUUACUUUCGUUUAAAUUAUUGCUUCCAACUUUAGAAUUCCUUCAGAUUUAAUCUCUAUGGCUUAAUUAACUUCUGAAUCGGACAAUUAAGUUGACCAUAACUAGUCUGAGCCUUUCAUAAACAGGCCUUUGAUGCUUUUAUUUACUAUCAAGAUUACAUGAUGUAAGUUUAAAUCUCACAUGUAAUGGAGACUAGACAUCGGGGACAUCUCUUGACCAGUACAUUUUGUAGGAUUUAAACCUUCAGUUCCGAGAAUUGGUCGCAAACAUGUGUCUGGAGUCUUAGCUGAAGUUCUCUUUGAUAUAUAGAGAUCCAUGUUCACUAAUGUGGUAAUAAUUCUCUGUGGCCCUCUAAAUUCAUGCUUAAUAACAUUAUCAUACUUCUAUACUACCAUAAUUAAUAUCUACCUUAAUCUUAACAAAUUAAUCUAGGUAUUUCAAUACUAAUCAACCCACUGUCUGUUCAAUAGCAAGUGUUUGUCGACCAUGAGAAGCUCUUUGUGGAUGGCAUAAUGGGUGAAGCUGAGAUUCGUCCCCGACCAAUAGUCACAGCUGCCAUGACAUUAAUAUUGAGUAUUUUGUGCGGCGUUGUUGUCUCCGUUGAGUAUUUUUGUAAUUUCUUUCGUUGGUUUGUAUGCGUUGUCAUAUUUUUUUUUCGAGGAAGGAACCGACCUGUAUAUAUGUAUUUUAUUUAUUUUGUACCA